rnacentral:rRNA from 1 species
GACGAACGCUGGCGGCGUGCUUAACACAUGCAAGUCGAACGGAAAGGCCCUGCUUUUGUGGGGUGCUCGAGUGGCGAACGGGUGAGUAAACGUGAGUAACCUGCCCUUGACUUUGGGAUAACUUCAGGAAACUGGGGCUAAUACCGGAUAGGAGCUCCUGCUGCAUGGUGGGGGUUGGAAAGUUUCGGCGGUUGGGGAUGGACUCGCGGCUUAUCAGCUUGUUGGUGGGGUAGUGGCUUACCAAGGCUUUGACGGGUAGCCGGCCUGAGAGGGUGACCGGCCACAUUGGGACUGAGAUACGGCCCAGACUCCUACGGGAGGCAGCAGUGGGGAAUAUUGCACAAUGGGCGGAAGCCUGAUGCAGCAACGCCGCGUGCGGGAUGACGGCCUUCGGGUUGUAAACCGCUUUCGCCUGUGACGAAGCGUGAGUGACGGUAAUGGGUAAAGAAGCACCGGCUAACUACGUG